rnacentral:rRNA from 1 species
CUAGCCGUAAACGAUGGAUACUAGGCGUUGUGAGUAUCGACCCUCACAGUGUCGUAGCUAACGCGUUAAGUAUCCCGCCUGGGGAGUACGCACACAAGCGUGAAACUCAAAGGAAUUGACGGGGGCCCGCACAAGCGGUGGAGUAUGUGGUUUAAUUCGAUGCAACGCGAAGAACCUUACCAGGACUUGACAUGUCGCGAAUCUCAGGGAAACUUGAGAGUGCCUUCGGGAGCGCGGACACAGGUGGUGC